rnacentral:rRNA from 1 species
CAGCAGCAGCCACGGUAAUACGUAGGUGGCAAGCGUUGUCCGGAAUUAUUGGGCGUAAAGGGCUCGCAGGCGGUUUCUUAAGUCUGAUGUGAAAGCCCCCGGCUCAACCGGGGAGGGUCAUUGGAAACUGGGAAACUUGAGUGCAGAAGAGGAGAGUGGAAUUCCACGUGUAGCGGCGAAAUGCGUAGAGAUGUGGAGGAACACCAGUGGCGAAGGCGACUCUCUGGUCUGUAACUGACGCUGAGGAGCGAAAGCGUGGGGAGCGAACAGGAUUAGAUACCCCAGUAGUCCCUGUCUCUUAUAC